rnacentral:rRNA from 1 species
AUCGGAUUUCUGGGCGUAAAGCGUGCGUAGGCGGCUUUUUAAGUCGGAUGUGAAAUCCCUGAGCUUAACUUAGGAAUUGCAUUCGAUACUGGAAAGCUAGAGUAUGGGAGAGGAUGGUAGAAUUCCAGGUGUAGCGGUGAAAUGCGUAGAGAUCUGGAGGAAUACCGAUGGCGAAGGCAGCCAUCUGGCCUAAUACUGACGCUGAGGUACGAAAGCAUGGGGAGCAAACAGGAUUAGAUACCCUGGUAGUCCACGCCGUAAACUAUGGAAGCUAGCCGUCAGUCAGCUUGCUGAGUGGUGGCGCAGCUAACGCAUUAAGCUUCCCGCCUGGGGAGUACGGUCGCAAGAUUAAAACUCAAAGGAAUUGACGGGGGCCCGCACAAGCGGUAAUCGAAUU